AAUUACAUCGUUGAGACUCUUAAGAUAUAAUCUGAUCAAUUUACAGACCCCUGGCGAAAUGUAUCAUCCAGACUUUUGAAACGCACACUAAGAGUGAAAAUCUGUUUGAAUUUAAGCCGAAAGAUAAAGAUAUGGGUAAUACAAAAGGCAAGAUAAUUAUUUCAUGUACGCAGGGAGACGAAUUAGCAAAUGCUAUUCAUAAGAAAGAUUUCGAAUUUUUUGAAUUUCCUGAGCGUUCAGACA